rnacentral:tRNA from 1 species
AGGGCAAUAGCUCAAUUGGUAGAGCACCGGUCUCCAAAACCGGCGGUUGGGGGUUCGAGUCCCUCUUGCCCUGCUA